CAAUAGCGUAUAUUUAAGUUGUUGCAGUUAAAAAGCUCGUAGUUGGAUUUCGGGUGGGACGCAGCGGUCUCGCAUUGCGUUUGUACUGCUGCAGCCCUCCUUCUUGCCGGGGGCGGCCUCUCGGACUUCACUGUCUGGGGGUCAGAAUCGGCGAUGUUACUUUGAGUAAAUUAGAGUGUUCAAAGCAAGCUUACGCUCUGAAUAUAAUAGCAUGGGAUAACACGACAGGACUCUGACCUAUCGUGUUGGUCUAUAGGACCAGAGUAAUGAUUAAGAGGGACAGUCGGGGGCAUUCGUAUUCCGUUGUCAGAGGUGAAAUUCUUGGAUUUACGGAAGACGAACAUCUGCGAAAGCAUUUGCCAAGGAUGUUUUCAUUGA
rnacentral:rRNA from 1 species